rnacentral:lncRNA from 1 species
GACCGAUCCUCGUCUGUGGACAGAGGAGUAGCUGACUCUGAAGCCCAGGCUGUUGCUAUCCAGUCUGGUGGUGAAUCCUCCACAGUCUGUUUAGAGCAAUUGGACGAAGUAUAUUUUUGUGAGCAAAUUUACCUUUCUCUCUGAAUUCUCCAAAAUUCAGAAACCAACAUUCUACUUCAAAACAGAAGAGUAUGCAUUGUUUCCAGAUGCAAAUGGAAUAUUCAUUAAGAUGUCUGUAUGAUUUAAUUAGUUUAAAAGGAAUAAAAUCAUCUGGCUUUGUUAUUCCUAUGGAAUAUAAUCAGAAAUAAGAAAAAUAGACAUCUAUAAAAUUCCUAACAUUGGAAACUUGAAACCACAUUUUUAGGAGUGACUUCCACUUUUGGGAAGAUGGAGUAGAAAUACUUUUUCCUAUUCCUCUCACUAAUCAUAGCUAAAACCUUGUACAUUAUACAUAAAAUAAAUGUAAAAAGACCCUAUAUAGGUGUAAAGAAGACAGUAGACCAGUGAGGGACCUCAGGAACAAAAAACAACACAAUGAUAGUUUCUUCGG